rnacentral:rRNA from 1 species
UCGGGAAUUUUGGGCAAUGGGCGAAAGCCUGACCCAGCAACGCCGCGUGAAGGAUGAAGUAUUUCGGUAUGUAAACUUCGAAAGAAUAGGAAGAAUAAAUGACGGUACUAUUUAUAAGGUCCGGCUAACUACGUGCCAGCAGCCGCGGUAAUACGUAGGGACCAAGCGUUGUUCGGAUUUACUGGGCGUAAAGCGUGCGCAGGCGGUUAUAUAAGACAGAUGUGAAAUCCCCGGGCUCAACCUGGGAACUGCAUUUGUGACUGUAUAGCUAGAGUACGGUAGAGGGGGAUGGAAUUCCGCGUGUAGCAGUGAAAUGCGUAGAUAUGCGGAGGAACACCGAUGGCGAAGGCAAUCCCCUGGACCUGUACUGACGCUCAUGCACGAAAGCGUGGGGAGCAAACAGGAUUAGAUACCCAAGUAGUCCCUGAGCGGGCUGGCAAGGCGCAU